UUUUUCAAUAGGGGCGCGCCGGGCAUUAUUGGUAAUUUAUUGGCGCGCCUGCGCAUGCGGCAUGCAUUUGACCGGGACAAGACAAGCAUGACAAAAGUGGGAAAGUGAGCCAGAGCAUGAGCCACUGAUGAAUCGUUGCUUACAGGAUGAGUGAUUUACAAGAGUUAUUGGUCAUCCCAAAGACGGUGAUCUCCUGUGUUGGCCUUGAGUUGAACCGAGAGAGAACACUAUUUCCCUGGCAUUAGAGGCUUCUUUGGUACUAACUGUGCAUCACUGGUUCAUGAACUACUAGGACAGGUGCAGCCCCAUCGCUACCAUAAAAUAAAUACUCCCAAACAACACAGCUGUUUUUCAACCAAUUAAGUUGUGCUUCUACUCAAGGCAGAUUGAAGAGAUUGCUUGGCUGAAAAAACAGUUUCAGUAGUUUGACAGAGAGACAAGAGCAAGCUAGUCCCUGGAGGCCGUUCUCUGGAGUGUAACAAAUCAGAGAUAUCUUAUCACUGGUGACACUACUCAACAGUCAGAGCACAAGCCACUCAUGGUACAUCCAGUUUCUUGAUGAUAGAGUUCCUGUGCCUGUUGAGGUGAUUGGUACUUUGAUCUCUUGCUGUUGCCUUCUGGGUAAAAGCUGUAGCAUUGAUGAAGAGACAAGACCAAGUCCCUUGGAGACAGUUUUCUGGAGUUUAACACAUCACUGGCAACUGGCAUUACUGACGACACAACUCACUCGGUAAGCACUUUAUAUCAUGUUCUGAUUUGAGCCUAAUAAUAAAAGUCAUGUUCCAGAUUUUGAACAAUAUCUGUACAUAAUUUUGUAUACAUGUACAAUUGUUUUGUAAAAUCUGGAGCAUGGUUUAUCAGGCACCACUCCUGAGGACGACGAGAGCAUGCUGGUUGAAACGUCAAGCACACACUCUACAGUUCUUAUCAGAACCAUACCUCUUCCAAGGGAAAUCUAUCUACGUGAUGUAGCCACAAGCCCUGUCUUUAGUCUCCACCAUGUAAAGCUUCAAGUCUUAUUUAAUGAAGGUGAAUACUUAAUUAGGGCAUUUAUGCCUCCCGGUUUCCCAUUUGUAAGUUGGUCUUGUAAUUGGAUAUUUGCAGCAAAUUUGGCUCUAUAUAAGGCCUAAUCCAAAAUAAGCAUUUGUCUGUGACUGUAGGGUUGGUGAAAAUCAACUGAUCUUGUCAUUUUGUUGAACAUAUCCACUGAAGAACGUUUCAUUCUGAUAUUGCCACAUUUAAGAGAACUAUACACAAAUGAAGGCGAAAGCUUGACUCAGUCAUUAUGUUUGCUAGUAAUCUUCUCCCUCUUGUACUUGUUAGUCAAUCUGUUUUAGUAGUUUGGCCUGUAUAUGUGACGAUUGUCUUCAAAUGGUCGAAAGGUUUACCUUGGUUAAUCAUGAUGGGUACCAUCUCUUCAAUUAUCCUUAUUUAUUUGACCAUCA
rnacentral:lncRNA from 1 species